UGGGAGUACGUUUGCAAGAAUGAAACUCAAAGGAAUUGAUGGGGGCCCGCACAAGCGGUGGAGCAUGUGGUUUAAUUCGAUGCAAAGAGAAGAACCUUACCAGGGCUUGACAUGUCGCGAAUCCUCUUGAAAGAGAGGGGUGCCCUCGGGAACGCGGACACAGGUGGUGCAUGGUUGUCGUCAGCUCGUGUCGUAAGGUGUUGUGUUAAGUCUCGCAACAAGCGCAACCCUCGUGUUUAGUUGCCACUAGGAGUUUGGAACCCUGAACAGACCGCCGGUGUUAAGCCGGAGGAAGGAGAGGAUGAGGCCAAGUCAUCAUGCCCCUUAUGCCCUAGGCGACACACGUGCUACAAUGGGCGGGGCAAAGGGUCGCGGUCUCGCGAGGGUGAGCUAACUCCAAAAACCCAUCCUCAGUUCGGAUUGCAGGCUACAACUCGCCUGCAUGAAGCAGGAAUCGCUAGUAAUCGCCGGUCAGCCAUACGGUGGUGAAUCUGUUCCCGGGCCUUNNNNN
rnacentral:rRNA from 16 species